CGCUGAUUUAUUCUAUCCGGUAGACUGCUGCCCAAUGAAUCUUUAAUGGCCGCAGUACCCUGGACUGUGCUAAGGUAGCAUAAUAAUUUGUCUUUUAAUUGGAGGCUUGAAUGAACGAGCUGACGAAGAGGUCUCUGUCUCAAGGAGGACAAAGAAAAUUUAUAUUCAGGUAAAAAAUCCUGAGAGCUGUAGAGGGACGACAAGACCCUAAAAGCUUUAUCCUUAACCCCUGAAUUUUUUCUAGCUCAGUCAGGGCUGCUGGGUUUUCGCUGGGGCGGUGCCUCUACUCAACUAGAGGGGUAAAAACACCUUGAGUGGAACUAACUACCCUUGCUUAGGUUUUUAGCAAAGUUACUUUAGGGAUAACAGCGUAAUUCUUUGAAAGAGCCCAUAUCGACCAAAGAGCUUGCGACCUCGAUGUUGAAUUGAAGACUUAGCUAAAGCAGCAUUUAGCGGAAAGAAGACUGUUCGUCUUUUAAACCUUC
rnacentral:rRNA from 1 species